UCCACCUUCUUCUCCAUGUCCUCCUCAGAUCUGAUGUUCAAGUGGCUCGGGGAGAGUGAGAAGCUGGUCAAGAACCUGUUUGAGCUGACCAGGCAGCACAAGCCCUCCAUCAUCUUCAUCGAUGAGGUGGAUUCCCUCUGUGGAUCCUGAAAUGAAAAUGAGAGCAAGGCUGCCUGGAGGAUCAAAAUGGAGUUCUUGGUCAAGAUGCAGGGGGUAGGAAAUAACAACGAUGGAACUCUGGUUCUUGGAGCCACGAACAUCCCAUGGGUGUUGGAUUCAGCCAUCAGGAAGAGGUUUGAGAAGCGAAUUUACAUUCCCCUGCCAGAGGAAACUGCCCAGGCACAGAUGUUCUGGUUGCAUCUGGGGGGCACCCCCCACAACCUCACGGAUGCAAACAUCCACGAGCUGGUCCAGAAGACCGAAGGCUACUUGGGCGAGGACAUCCGCAUCAUCGUGUGGGACUCCCUCAUGCAGCCCGUGAGGAAGGCGCAGUCAGCCACACGCUUCAAAAAGGUCUGUGGCCCCUCCCGCACCAAUCCCAGCAUGAUGAUCGAUGACCUCCUGGCCCCAUGCUUACCAGGGGACCCAGGGUACAUGGAGAUGACUUGGAUGGAUGUCCCUGGGGACAAACUCUUAGAGCCUGUAGUUUUCAUGUCAGACAUGCCGUGGUCUCUGGCUACCACCUGGCCCACGGUGAAUGCAGACGACCUCCUGAAAGUGAAGAAAUUCUCAGAGGACUUUGGCCAGGAGAGUUAAAAAGCUGCCUCACUUGGGCGAUGGUGAAGGUGGGAGGUUGAUUAGGGCAAAUCCAGGCACUCCCCAUGUCAGCAGCCAGACAGGGCUCCAGGGCUUGUCCCAAAGUCACUAGAGUUCCCUCUACUGUCUGGCCGCCCACCAGGGAGCUGGAAAGAAGGGCUUUGCAGCUGCAGAGACACUCUGCCACCCUGAGGCACAUGGUGGACACUGGCUCUUCCUACUUCCUCCUCUCCUGGAUGCUCACCAGCUCCUUCUACCUCCUUUUUUUCCUCCCAUCUUUUGUUCCCCUAAAUUAAUGCUGCUUGGAUUUUUGUCUUAUUUAUAAA